UACGGGGGGAGCAAGCGUUGUUCGGAUUUACUGGGCGUAAAGGGCGCGUAGGCGGUCAGCACAAGUCAGUUGUGAAAUCUCCGGGCUUAACUCGGAAAGGUCAACUGAUACUGUGCGACUAGAGUGCAGAAGGGGCAACUGGAAUUCUCGGUGUAGCGGUGAAAUGCGUAGAUAUCGAGAGGAACACCUGCGGCGAAGGCGGGUUGCUGGGCAGUAACUGACGCUGAGGAGCGAAAGCGUGGGGAGCGAACAGG
rnacentral:rRNA from 1 species